AGAACGUAAGAGCCCUACUCGAUCAUUGGGUCGAGUAGAACCAACAGGUGACAAAAUUAAGAAACCUAAAUGCAAUCAACAGGGGAUACAAAUAACAAGUAAAUAAAAGUGCAAUUAACAGGGGGUACAAAUAAAUCUAGUAGAAGUUCUAAGGAUGGAUUCAUUGAUAAGGGCAAUUCUAGGGUUCAUCAGAUGGCUAAUAGGUGAAAGGUAGAUACCCUUGACGAUAGAUUUAAAAACCGGGUCAAUCCACAGUCGUGACAUAAACCCCCAUAACUCUACCACUUCCUAAUCUCAACUAUCGUUGAUGAAACAUAGCAGAGCAGGGUUUAGGAAACAAUCUACCAAAGCCAAUAAGCAGACAAGCCAAUGUCUUGGUCGAGUCUAUAAAUCUCUGGAAUUCGUAGAUCAGACAUCCAUUUGAACGUCUUUUGGACGCUGGACAUCUAUGAUCGAAUCUCCACAUUAGCCAGCGAAAACCGCAUAGCGGCCAUGCGAAUCCAGAAGGGUUCUAACCUAAUCUUAACCACCUAACUAACCUAGAGAUUACCCUAAUCUAAUUCAUCCUCAAGAACCCUAAUCACUACUCAAGCAACAUUCUCAAGAACACAAACCCAGAAAUUACUGAAAUCAUACCAAAAUGUAGAUCUAAGCAAGCUAAACAACUUUACUAAAACAACUAAA
rnacentral:sRNA from 1 species